AGAACGAACGCUGGCGGCAUGCCUAACACAUGCAAGUCGAACGAGACCUUCGGGUCUAGUGGCGCACGGGUGCGUAACGCGUGGGAAUCUGCCCUUAGGUACGGAAUAACUCAGGGAAACUUGUGCUAAUACCGUAUGAUGUCGAGAGACCAAAGAUUUAUCGCCUAGGGAUGAGCCCGCGUAGGAUUAGCUAGUUGGUGGGGUAAAGGCCUACCAAGGCUACGAUCCUUAGCUGGUCUGAGAGGAUGAUCAGCCACACUGGGACUGAGACACGGCCCAGACUCCUACGGGAGGCAGCAGUGGGGAAUAUUGCGCAAUGGGGCGGAAGCCUGACGCAGCGACGCCGCGUGAGGGAUGACGGCCUUCGGGUUGUAAACCUCUUUCAGCUCUGACGAAGCGAGAGUGACGGUAGAAGCAGAAGAAGCACCGGCCAACUACGUGCCAGCAGCCGC
rnacentral:rRNA from 1 species